GUUGACCUGUUUGGUAAAUUUUAGAAUACUUGUGUUCAAUAUACGUUCCCAGUGGAAUUACAUUCUUACACAGAGCAGAGAUGUACAUAUUUCAAGUCCAGUGUUUACAGCAUCACUACAGAGAAGAAAAGCUGGAGUGCGAGCAGACAGGACUGUAAACAGAGAGGAGCAGAUCUGGUGAUCAUUGACAGCAAAGAGGAACAGAUAUGAGGUACACUAAUGUCUUCCCACCAACAAACUGCCAGUAGGUGAAAUGGCUACUUUAAAGUGCACUAAAUGUUAGUGAACAGAUAAGCGUGUUGACCUUCGCUGGAUUGGCACUUCCACCCUGAGUUCAGUGUUGUUAGGACAGACUCCAGGUACUUCAGCCCAGCAGGAAGUGGUUACAGAAGAUAAAUAAAUCCAUGAUAUCUUGGACAGUGUCAGUCCAUUACAG